rnacentral:rRNA from 1 species
UAGUGAACCAGUACCGUGAGGGAAAGGUGAAAAGCACCCCGGAAGGGGAGUGAAAUAGAACCUGAAACCGUGUGCUUACAAGUAGUCAGAGCCCGUUAAUGGGUGAUGGCGUGCCUUUUGUAGAAUGAACCGGCGAGUUACGAUUUGAUGCAAGGUUAAGCAGUAAAUGUGGAGCCGUAGCGAAAGCGAGUCUGAAUAGGGCGUUUAGUAUUUGGUCGUAGACCCGAAACCAGGUGAUCUACCCUUGGUCAGGUUGAAGUUCAGGUAACACUGAAUGGAGGACCGAACCGACUUACGUUGAAAAGUGAGCGGAUGAACUGAGGGUAGCGGAGAAAUUCCAAUCGAACCUGGAGAUAGCUGGUUCUCUCCGAAAUAGCUUUAGGGCUAGCCUCAAGUGAUGAUUAUUGGAGGUAGAGCACUGUUUGGACGAGGGGCCCCUCUCGGGUUACCGAAUUCAGACAAACUCCGAAUGCCAAUUAAUUUAACUUGGGAGUCAGAACAUGGGUGAUAAGGUCCGUGUUCGAAAGGGAAACAGCCCAGACCACCAGCUAAGGUCCCAAAAUAUAUGUUAAGUGGAAAAGGAUGUGGCGUUGCCCAGACAACUAGGAUGUUGGCUUAGAAGCAGCCAUCAUUUAAAGAGUGCGUAAUAGCUCACUAGUCGAGUGACACUGCGCCGAAAAUGUACCGGGGCUAAACAUAUUACCGAAGCUGUGGAUUGUCCUUUGGACAAUGGUAGGAGAGCGUUCUAAGGGCGUUGAAGCAUGAUCGUAAGGACAUGUGGAGCGCUUAGAAGUGAGAAUGCCGGUGUGAGUAGCGAAAGACGGGUGAGAAUCCCGUCCACCGAUUGACUAAGGUUUCCAGAGGAAGGCUCGUCCGCUCUGGGUUAGUCGGGUCCUAAGCUGAGGCCGACAGGCGUAGGCGAUGGAUAACAGGUUGAUAUUCCUGUACCACCUAUAAUCGUUUUAAUCGAUGGGGGGACGCAGUAGGAUAGGCGAAGCGUGCGAUUGGAUUGCACGUCUAAGCAGUAAGGCUGAGUAUUAGGCAAAUCCGGUACUCAUUAAGGCUGAGCUGUGAUGGGGAGAAGACAUUGUGUCUUCGAGUCGUUGAUUUCACACUGCCGAGAAAAGCCUCUAGAUAGAAAAUAGGUGCCCGUACCGCAAACCGACACAGGUAGUCAAGAUGAGAAUUCUAAGGUGAGCGAGCGAACUCUCGUUAAGGAACUCGGCAAAAUGACCCCGUAACUUCGGGAGAAGGGGUGCUCUUUAGGGUUAACGCCCAGAAGAGCCGCAGUGAAUAGGCCCAAGCGACUGUUUAUCAAAAACACAGGUCUCUGCUAAACCGUAAGGUGAUGUAUAGGGGCUGACGCCUGCCCGGUGCUGGAAGGUUAAGAGGAGUGGUUAGCUUCUGCGAAGCUACGAAUCGAAGCCCCAGUAAACGGCGGCCGUAACUAUAACGGUCCUAAGGUAGCGAAAUUCCUUGUCGGGUAAGUUCCGACCCGCACGAAAGGCGUAACGAUUUGGGCACUGUCUCAACGAGAGACUCGGUGAAAUCAUAGUACCUGUGAAGAUGCAGGUUACCCGCGACAGGACGGAAAGACCCCGUGGAGCUUUACUGUAGCCUGAUAUUGAAAUUCGGCACAGCUUGUACAGGAUAGGUAGGAGCCUUUGAAACGUGAGCGCUAGCUUACGUGGAGGCGCUGGUGGGAUACUACCCUAGCUGUGUUGGCUUUCUAACCCGCACCACUUAUCGUGGUGGGAGACAGUGUCAGGCGGGCAGUUUGACUGGGGCGGUCGCCUCCUAAAAGGUAACGGAGGCGCUCAAAGGUUCCCUCAGAAUGGUUGGAAAUCAUUCAUAGAGUGUAAAGGCAUAAGGGAGCUUGACUGCGAGACCUACAAGUCGAGCAGGGUCGAAAGACGGACUUAGUGAUCCGGUGGUUCCGCAUGGAAGGGCCAUCGCUCAACGGAUAAAAGCUACCCCGGGGAUAACAGGCUUAUCUCCCCCAAGAGUUCACAUCGACGGGGAGGUUUGGCACCUCGAUGUCGGCUCAUCGCAUCCUGG